rnacentral:tRNA from 1 species
GCGCUUUAGCUCAGUUGGUUAGAGCAGUGGAAUCAUAAUCCAAAGGUCCGGGGUUCAAGUCCCUGAAGCGC